AAAGUCGUAACAAGGUUUCCGUAGGUGAACCUGCGGAAGGAUCAUUACAGAGUUCAUGCCCCUGCGGGUAGAUCUCCCACCCUUGAAUAUAAUACCUUUGUUGCUUUGGUAGGCUCUUGCUUUGGCUAGUGAGUGCCUGCCAGGGGCCUAAACCCUUAAAUUAUAGUGUUGUCUGAGUACUAUAUAAUAUUUUAAAACUUUCAACAACGGAUCUCUUGGUUCUG
rnacentral:misc_RNA from 1 species